rnacentral:rRNA from 1 species
AUCUCAAAUCAGGUAGGACACCCCGCUGAACUU